rnacentral:rRNA from 1 species
CCUACGGGAGGCAGCAGUAGGGAAUCUUUCACAAUGGGCGAAAGCCUGAUGGAGCAACGCCGCGUGCAGGAUGAAGGCCUUCGGGUUGUAAACUGCUUUUAUAAGCGAGAAAUAUGAUGGUAACUUAUGAAUAAGGAUCGGCUAACUACGUGCCAGCAGCCGCGGUCAUACGUAGGAUCCGAGCAUUAUCCGGAGUGACUGGGUGUAAAGAGUUGCGUAGGUGGCAUAAUAAGUAGCUAGUGAAAUCUGGUGGCUCAUCCAUUCAGACUAUUAGCUAAACUGUUAAGCUCGAGACCGUUAGGGGUAACUGGAAUUUCUAGUGUAGGAGUGAAAUGCGUAGAUAUUAGAAGGAACACCAAUAGCGUAGGCAGGUUACUGGGACGGUUCUGACACUAAGGCACGAAAGCGUAGGGAGCAAACGGGAUUAGAUACCCCUGUAGUC